ensembl:lncRNA
GCUGAGUUAUUGUUCGCCCCAUGGAUCAUGUAAAGGACUUUGAAACUGACUUUGGUGGUAAAACUCGCCCACAAAUGUUGCAUACAAAAGACUUCUCUCCAGUGUGAGUCCACCCGUCAAUCUGAAGAGUGCCAGCGGAGGAGAAGUUCUUUCCACACCACAUGCAGCCAUGUUGCUUGCGCUGUCGGUGUGGCUGGGCCUGUGGGCGUGGCUGGGCUGCUAACAAAGCAGUCAUCCUGGGGACAAUGUUAAGGGUCCCACAAACAUGCCAGGAACUUCAACUUUGACACAGGUUGGCUGGGCUCAGAUAAACAUGGAAGGGAGACUGCUCUGACACUUGUGCUUGUAAAGGACCACCUGGUCUUUGGGUUUGACGUUGACUGUGGAGAUACUCGGUGGCUUCCCCUUCCCUUUCUUGGAUGAGUCUAGCGCCACAGUGGAGAAGGGACUCUGGAAGAGCACCGAGCCCGGCGUCUGAGGAAGCAAAGCACUUGGGAGAGGAGACAUGAUGUUUGGGAACAACCUGGUUCCAUCUGGCUUCAGCGCAAAGGGCAUCAGCCCUGGGGACAGAGAGCUGGUGGUAGAAGGGAUGUUGGCAGAAGGGAUGUUGGCAUGAAGUAGUUUGGCUUGUUUCAACGCAUCCGGAGACAGACCUUGGCUUCCAGCUUUCUGGCUGAGCAAAGUCACAGCCAUAGAAACCUGCUGGGAUAUGCGGCUGCCCAGGGUCGUCUCCCACCGCCAAAGUGGAGAGCAUGGGAGGUCCACAUGUGCACCUGAAUGCGAUCUGCUGGGAUAAUGUGCUAAUUGAAAUUUCACAAUCAGGAGGGUGGAGCAACAUGGCAGAAUGGAAGCCUUCACCAUUUGUCCUCCCUGCUGGAACACCAGGCUUUAACAACUAUCUCCACAGAGAAAAGCACCAUCAUAGGAAACAAAAAUCAGGUAAGCAAUCACAGUACCUGGAUUUAACUUUGUAUCGCCAAAAGAGGCAUUGAGGAAGGCAGGAGAGAGUCUUGAAUCACCAGGAGAGUGCAUUCACUGGGGGACAUUACACUGACCUCUGUACUGCCCUGCCAUAGAGGAGAAUAAAGCCAUGCUGGGCUCAGGAAGUGCCUGUGAAUGGACCAGACUGAGCCAGAGGGGAAUAGCCCAUCCCAGCGGUCAGAACUUGAGUUUCUCAGCAAGCCUCACUACUGUGGGCUGAAGUGCUCUGGAGUCGUAGGUGAACUUGAAAGACAGUCUAGGACACAAGGACUGCAAUCCUUAGGCAACUCCUAGCGCUAGGCUGGACUUAGAGCCUAUAAACUAGGGUGAGUAGUGACCUAGGGAGACACCAGCUGAUGUGGCUAAAGGAAUAUUUGUGCCAUCCCUCCUUCCAUCCCAGGCAGUGCAGCUUGCAGCAAUGAAAGUGAUUCUUUCCUUCUGUUGAAAGAGAGGGGAGCAAAGAGUGAAGAGGACUUUGUCUUGCACCUUGGGUACCAGCUUAGCCACAGUAGGAUAGGUAAUUGGUUAGAGAUGUAAGGCCUCCAUUCAAGCCCUGGCACCUGGACAUUUCUAGACACACUCUGGACCUAAACAGAACCUGCUACCUCGAAGGGAAGGAUCCACUCUUGGCAGGAUUUAUCACCUGUUGAUUAAAGAGCCCGUGGGGCCUGAGUAACUACCAGUGAUACCCAGGGAGUAUGCCAUGGACCUUGGGCUCUGACAUGUGUUGGCUUUGGGGUGAUCCAGCACAUUCCCAGCUAUAAUGGCUACAGGGAAAGACUACAUCUGUUUGAGAAAAGCAGAGGGAAAAGUAAAGGGGACUUUGUGUUCCACUUUAAGUGCCAGCUCAACCACAGUGGGACAGAGCUCUUAGAGGUCCCAAGUUCAGGCCCCUAGGCCUACUCUUAGACAGCAUUACUGGACCUGCUCUGGGCUAGAGAGAAGCCCA